AGAACGAACGCUGGCGGCAGGCCUAACACAUGCAAGUCGAACGCCCCGCAAGGGGAGUGGCAGACGGGUGAGUAACACGUGGGAACCUUCCCUAUAGUACGGAAUAGCCCAGGGAAACUUGGAGUAAUACCGUAUACGCCCGAAAGGGGAAAGAUUAUCGCUAUAGGAUGGGCCCGCGUAGGAUUAGCUAGUUGGUGAGGUAAUGGCUCACCAAGGCGACGAUCCUUAGCUGGUUUGAGAGAACGACCAGCCACACUGGGACUGAGACACGGCCCAGACUCCUACGGGAGGCAGCAGUGGGGAAUAUUGGACAAUGGGCGCAAGCCUGAUCCAGCCAUGCCGCGUGAGUGAUGAAGGCCUUAGGGUUGUAAAGCUCUUUUGCCGGGGACGAUAAUGACGGUACCCGGAGAAUAAGUCCGGCUAACUUCGUGCCAGCAGCCGC
rnacentral:rRNA from 1 species